rnacentral:rRNA from 1 species
UACGUAGGGGGCAAGCGUUGUCCGGAUUUACUGGGCGUAAAGAGCGUGUAGGCGGCCAAGCAGGUCCGCUGUGAAAACUGGAGGCUUAACCUCCAGACGUCGACGGAAACCGCGUGGCUAGAGUCCGGAAGAGGAGAGUGGAAUUCCUGGUGUAGCGGUGAAAUGCGCAGAUAUCAGGAAGAACACCAAUGGCGAAGGCAGCUCUCUGGGACGGUGCUGACGCUGAGACGCGAAAGCGUGGGGAGCGAACAGG